rnacentral:rRNA from 1 species
AAAUUGAAGAGUUUGAUCAUGGCUCAGAUUGAACGCUGGCGGCAGGCCUAACACAUGCAAGUCGAACGGUAACAGGAAGCAGCUUGCUGCUUCGCUGACGAGUGGCGGACGGGUGAGUAAUGUCUGGGAAACUGCCUGAUGGAGGGGGAUAACUACUGGAAACGGUGGCUAAUACCGCAUAACGUCGCAAGACCAAAGAGGGGGGCCUUCGGGCCUCUUGCCAUCAGAUGUGCCCAGAUGGGAUUAGCU